rnacentral:lncRNA from 1 species
GUUCGUGACUCUCCUGGAACGACAUGAGCCAGCGGCAGGACAUUCCCGCUGCCGGGAAGGAUCACAGCCUGUUGGAUGCCUGGUGCUGCUUCCAGGCUCAGGAAAGCUGGCGAUGGGGGAGCAGUCCACUUCCACCAGACACCUACUGCCAGGAAGAGAAAUUCUUCACAGCUCCAGUAAAACACCCAAAGCACUCCAAUUUCAGCCAAGGCUUAUACAAUAUAAUCUCCUCCACACCCCGGGUGCGUGUCAGCAGGCAGCAGUAAUGGGUAUUGUCUGAAUCAAAGCCUCUUACAGAAACGUUGCAAACCAGAAUGAAAAGACUGGAGCAGCUCCCCAUCAGUAUGUGGAAAGCAUUCCAGCCUGGGAAUUGAGCAGUGGGUUUUCUGCCAUCAUCUUUCAAACUGCAUUUUGGAAGGACUCAGCUUGGAGUGUUUUAAAACAGCCUUCAGGAUGUUGGUCUAAAGUUUGCUGCCUGCACCAGGAACGUUUGGGAAAGCUGCUGAGAUCACCAAGAGAAGAUGGAUGUGAUGGUUUUCUGAGGAGAGGGGGCAGCGUGGAAGUACCUUUCCCUGCCUUCCUUCAGGACGGUGACCUUUUCCACGGGGGGGACGUCGGGUGGACACUGCAGAUGGUCUGGUCAGUGGGAAAGUCAUCCUUUGGUGAUGGAUCAGAAGGCAGAGCUUGCGUGAGCCAAGGUAUGUCUCAAAUCCGGAGGGAGGGAUGGCUUGGCUGGCUCAGGAGAGGGUGCUGCAGCAUUCACUG